UACGUAGGGGGCGAGCGUUACCCGGAUUCAUUGGGCGUAAAGCGCGCGCAGGCGGCUCGUCAAGCGGGACCUCUAAUCCCGGGGCUCAACCCCGGGCCGGGUCCCGAACUGGAGGGCUCGGGUGCGGUAGAGGAGAGCGGAAUUCCCGGUGUAGCGGUGGAAUGCGCAGAUAUCGGGGGGAACACCGAUGGCGAAGGCAGCUCUCUGGGCCGUAACCGACGCUGAGGCGCGAAAGCCGGGGGAGCGAACA
rnacentral:rRNA from 1 species